GGCAGCGGAAAACUGCUUGUCUCAUCUGGGUUACUUGUUUGGUAUCUUCACACCUGGAAGUACUCAUGGAGUCCAAAAGAAGGCAUAGGAUCCACCGGACCUAGCAUUACAGACAGUUGUGAGUCGUCAUGUGGGUGCUGGAGAUGGAACCCAGGUCCUUAACCAGUGCUGGGUUGCAGGUGUCUACCAUCACGCCAUGUCAGUUCAGGUAUACCUUGGGAGGCAGAAAACUGUAGACUCCUAAACAUGGGCAGGAAAUAGUAUGCAUAUGCAAAUAUUUGUCUCAAGUAUGAAAAAUAAUUACAGAAAUAACAGAAAAAAAAAACAGAACAAAGGAGAUGGCACUUGAAGCACUUCUCUGGAGUAAAACACAGUCGAUACAGAGACAAGGAGCCAGGUGUGAUCCAGAGCUUCUGGACAAGGCUUCUCUUUGAUGGCUACUCUCAGAGAAAAGAGAUGGCUAGAAAAAACUGGAAAGCCAUUGCCAGCCUUACCUAAGAGAUACGUUAAAUUCAAAGGAAAGACUGUAGAAGUUGUCCCUUAUCUUUCAAAUCUUUUAAAAUAUUAACUAACUUUGUUAGUGCAUAAAGUGGCUAACGAGAUAAUACUAUUGUAUACUUCUUUCUUAUUUAUUCUCCUCCUUAACUAUCCUUUACCUAUUCUUAUUUCUCCCUUCUUUCUGGUUUCCUUGUUUCUCCUAAAUAGUUCUCCUAUCUGCUAUUUAUAUCACUUGCACUGUGUUAACCUCUUGCUUCUCCUUCCUCUCCCUAAAGACCACUUCUUUCCAUUUCUACUUUCAUGACUUGCACACACACAUAUUCAUGUGUACAUGCAUGUACACACAGACACACACAAUAUAUGUAUAUUCAUAUUUAAAUUUAGAUGAAUGUAUUUGUCUUUCUGUGUUUGUAUUAUUUUGCUUAACAAAAUCUCUAUUUCCAUCAAUUUUCCUGCAAAAAAAUCUUGACUUCACAUUUCUUUUCU